rnacentral:rRNA from 1 species
AUUGAACGCUGGCGGCAGGCCUAACACAUGCAAGUCGAACGAGUGGCGGACGGGUGAGUAAUGUCUGGUAAACUGCCCGAGGGAGGGGGAUCACUACUGGAAACGGCAGCUAAUACCGCAUACCAUCGGAUGUGCCCAGAUGGGAUUCGCUUGUAUGUGAGGUAACGGCUCACCUAGGCGACGAUCCCGAGCUGGUCUGAGAGGUUGACCAGCCACACUGGAACUGAGACACGGUCCAGACUCCUACGGGAGGCAGCAGUGGGGAAUAUUGCACAAUGGGCGCAAGCCUGAUGCAGCCAUGCCGCGUGUAUGAAGAAGGCCUUCGGGUUGUAAAGUACUUUCAGCGGGGAGGCGUUACCCACAGAAGAAGCACCGGCUAACUCCGUGCCAGCAGCCGCGGUAAUAC